GACGAACGCUGGCGGCGUGCUUAAAACAUGCAAGUCGAGCGGAGCGGCGAAAGGGUGAGUAACGCGUGAGUAACUGCCCCCCUCUCGGGGAUAACAGUUGGAAACGGCUGCUAAUACCGGAUAGUGGGGGAUGACGCGCGUCCUAUCAGCUUGUUGGUGGGGUAGGGGCCUACCAAGGCGACGACGGGUAGCCGGCCGGAGAGGGCGACCGGCCACCUUGGGCUGCGAUACGGCCCAAUCUCCUACGUGACGCAGUAGUGGGGAAUCUUGCGCAGUGGUGGCAACCCUAAUGCAGCAACGCGCGUGUGUAAUGACGGCCUAGGGGUUGUAAACCGCUUUCAGCCAUGACGCGUUAGUGGCAGAAGAAGCACCGGCUAACUCCGUGCCAGCAGCCGCGGUAAUUC
rnacentral:rRNA from 1 species